rnacentral:rRNA from 1 species
CCUACGGGUGGCAGCAGUAAGGAAUUUUGCUCAAUGGGCGAAAGCCUGAAGCAGCAACGCCGCGUGAUCGAGACGCCCUUCGUGGUGUGUAGAUCUGUCAGUGGGGACGAAACUUGACGGUACCCACAGAGGAAGCACCGUCUAACUCCGGUCCAGCAGCCCGGGUAAUACGGGGGGUGCAAGCGUUGUCCGGAAUCAUUGGGCGUAAGGAGUUCGUAGGGGGCUCGUAAAGUCUGGUGUUAAAGGCAGAGGCUAAACUUCUGUACGGCACUGGAUACUGGCGAGCUAGAAUGCGGUAGAGGCAAAGGGAAUUCGUGGUGUAGCGGUGAAAUGCUUAGAUAUCACGAGGAACAUCGAUUGCGUAAGCGGUUUGCUGGGCCGUUAUUGACGCUGAGGAACGAAAGCGAGGGUAGCGAAUGGGAUUAGAUACCCCGGUAGUC